GGGUCAUAAACAUGAAAGCAUGAAACUAACUGUGUUCCCUGGGUGGUCCUAUACAUUGAGAUUAGCUAUCUUGAGCAUCACUCUUUAUUUCGGCGCAAGAGGACCAUACAGUGACAUGAAGUUUUAUCUUUGCUCCUGGGCAUACUGCUACUUUGUUGAUAUAUCUGAAGCCGUCUGAACCUGGUUCUUUUCAGGCAUAUUUUUUUAUAUUUAUCAAUGCAUUGUACAUAGUGAAAUUGUCCCUAAUUAUUCUCUGUUGUAGUGCAAUGUUUUUUGUUUAGUUUGGAUAGACAGUAUUAUCUUUAGUAUUAACUAUGUUCCCUGGGUGGUCCUCCCCGAGUGUUUCUUGCUCGAUUGGCCACUUCAGGCUUCACAUAUGUGUGUGUUGCAAGCUCUCAGGUUUGGAGAAUAAUUGUAGGAUUAGGUAAUUUGAGAGACUAAUUAUGAGCGUUAAAAAGGUCACACAGUCGGCAACAGUGGUUAUAUCAGCUCGAAAAAAGCAGUGUUGCUUGACGUUGAUGGCUUGACCUUUCGGGCCUCUCUCCUUGGGCUCCUGAUUUCUCAGCCAGGAUCAUCUUGCCAGUGUGUUUCACCCUCCCAUUUCUGAUAUCAUUGAAUAAUUUACAAAUGGGAUAUCUCUUAUUCGGGAUUAAAGUUUUGAUGGUUAGAUUGAUUGCUUCGUUUCAUAUAUAAUUUCCCUGUAGGCUUCUAAUGUAUUCAGAUGACAUACCUAUUGUCCAUACUAGGGCUUUAAAUGCAUCUGCUCCUAUAAUUGGUCAUUCAGUUAGUAUUACAUGAAAAGAAACAGUCCAGCUUAAUUCCCUCAUUUGGUUGGGUAUGCGUCUCAUUUAUAUACUCACACAGUGGUUUAUUUGAAUGUUUGUUCUCCACUCACUGCCUUGUGCCUUAGAUAGCUGCAGAUGAGGAUGUAUGAACAAUUUGGCCAGGAACUCAAUCAGACCAUUCGACUGAAGCUGAAGGGGCAUUGCAAAGAUACGGAGGGAUUGCCUUUCAUUCAGAACCUGGUUAGCUAAAAGUCACGCGGAGAGUAAUGGAAGGCCCUGUGGAUUGUGUUAGCUGGUUUUCUGAUUCGUGUUUAGCUCAUGGAUUCUCAUUUAUCAUGCAGGUGAUGGCAUAAUUUAAUGAAUGGCAUUAUGGUAGGACGCAUGUGGUAUUUGAUUACAAUGGUGUCUCACGGGGUUACAAAAGUUGUGUUCUUACACAUUUGAGAUGAAAGAAAUUCAAUUUUUUUGCGGGUAUUCAAAAUAGGAAGGUACAAAGGCUAAGGUGAAGAAUGAUUGUAGUAAGGAAGUUCAACCUGGGAGAGGUCCCCAUAACUACUCAAAUAUACACUUAUUGAAAAAAUGCAAAUAUUUUCAACACGAACAUGGUUUUAAACGGGUCUUUGCGUCAUUUGACGCAACUGGUCAUCUAGUUCAAUCAAAAGACCAGAGAGCUUUGCUUCUGCUUCAAUUUAUGAAUCCCAUACAUGUGACGUACUGUUCCGUUCCCUUUCGGGUCUUCACUCAAUCACUCUACAUGUGUCGAACUGCUACAGGCCGCAUCCCAGCUGCUCUGCUUGACGACUUCUAACCAUCGAUUCUACAAGCUUUUCAGUCAACAAUCUCCGUUCAGCACUCGCGAUAGAAAACGGAGAAUCUCUCUCCAGACACUCGCCCAGUUGGUCCACGUGGGGUCGCAGUCCUCGGUGGAGGCAGGUGAGUGGGCGGCACGUUCGCUGCGUCACCCACGCGUGCAUCCCGAAGCCUUUCUCGACAGGUGUUGCUCAUCAUACGGCAAUGAUUGACACUUGUCCGGGCAUCUCCGUGCGGAAAUUUUUUGGAGGCCACUUUGCCCGACUUCAAAGGGAUCACGAGAAUCCUUCCCUUUCCUCAAAGCAAAACCUGGGAACCCACAAAGUCUUUCGAGCAUCGAUGCCAGCAAUCUAUGGCUGCCAUUGGUGCAUCUCACCUUGGUAUCAUGUGAGCUCGCCGACCAAUGGCAGGCAGCUCCGGAGCACAAGGACGAGGAUAUGAUAUGCCCUCCACGGCUCCACCGUCCUGCGCGGGCGUGGUGAUCAUGGACACGGUCUGUGCAACGUGCGUGCAUGAUGGAGGCAACGGCAAUGCAAAUACAUGCAUCUCAGUGUCCGCAAUGAGUAUAUAGGAUUGUAGUUCACUUUCGUUCUGGUUUUUUCAAACUCUCGGCCUAAAUUUGAUUAGAAUUUUGACAGACAACAUACGAGUUAUAUGUCAAAAAAUCAUGGAAUUCGUAGUUGAAAAAAGUUUACAAUGGUAUAUUUUUCAUAUA